GUCGGCACCCACAGAGGUAUACUCCAAUCCCAGCUCCAUCAGCUCUGAGACUCCCUCUAAACGGGACUUGCCCAAACCUCAGCUCGCUCAUCUAGAGAAACGGGCCACCCGGCCUUCCUAACUGAUCUUACACAGGCACAGGGCGCAGAUGAUGAGUAAACCAAGAAACAGGUUGUAUUUUGACCUAACUGGCUCCCAGUAGAGGAAACCGUUGACAGUGCCCAGUGAGAUUAUCUAUGAGAAGCAGGGGCUGUGGCUAACUGCCUAAGAAAGAGUAAUCCCUUCCCUUGACACUUUAACUGCUCUGAGAAUACUUAGAUGUUAAAAUUUCAAUGUUUUUAUAUUCACCAGGAAAGUGACAAAUGUCUAAAAAGACUAUUUAAAGUGAACAGUACUUAAUUACUUGUAAAACUUGGUUGUCUUUCGUGCCAACUUUAGAUUAUUUAUUCAAGUCAGAGCAUCUGGGACUUAAUUAAGGACGUCCCAGGAGCUGAGCCUGCUGAAGUCCAAAGAUGACUGUCAGAGCAUGCAUGGGACAUCCGUGGCGAGGAAAACGGAGGAAGUGGGGAAGCAGAGCACUCACUGCAAUCCCAAGAAGGACAUUCUGAGCUCCGUGAAACGAGCUGGGUGUAGCUACCGACCUUCCUUUCUGGGAGACAAACAAGACACUUGGGAGUGAGCUGGCUGGGAGGGCACUUCCUCCCUUGAAAUCUCUGUUGGAUUUGGAAAGACCAGGCAUAAGCUCCAUGCUGGGUACCAAAGGAACAGUGCAACAUUAGAACCAUAGGAAGGAAUGACUGGAAGCUUCCUGAGGACAAGAGACACAACAUUUUCUUUGAUGCCUCACACUGAAUUCAAAAUUAAUGUGUUGGAAGAAAAAAAAAACAGCAAAGGAAAACCACAAGUUUCAGGGCCCCUGUUGACGGACUGGCUCAUCCAGUUCAAGGAUGGAUCACGAAAUGCUACACAACAGUUGUGAGCAAGUCAGCCAUCCUGUCCUUCAAACUGAUGGACGCUUCAGGGACUUUUACAACUCCUAGCCCUCAAGGAGCAGCUGGGCUCUGGAGUCCUGAGUCCUGCCACCCCACCACCCCACCACGCCACCACUCCACCCCACCCCUGCUUUGUGGGGGAUCUCUCUGUGUUCCUGCUGUGUGUGUGUGUUUUCCUCACCCCGAGUAAAAGCCUUUUCUUCAACUGCUGAUUCCAUCUGCUUCCAUUUGCUGUGCUCAAGAUUUCUCUGCUGCUACCUGUCACGUUCUAGAUUUUUCCUGCCUUUUAGUUAUUUAACUGACAGAGGACAAGCUGGAUCAAGAUUCCUGGACUAUAACGUGUGGAGGGCAGAAAUCAAUACUGGGCGUCUU